GUCUUCCUUCUGCUGCAGUGGAUCAUCUCUGUAGAUCUGCUGUCUGUCCUGAACUCUUGGAACAUGUUGCUGUACCUCCUGCUCUUCUCUCUCUACAUCGCCAUGGGCUCCAUGAACACCGUCACACAGGAGCAGAGGGAACACGUCGCUUCAGAGGGAAGCCCCACCAGUUUGAGCUGCGGAUAUACUGGUUCUAUCUAUAAUGUCCAGUGGUACCGACAGCAGCACGGAUCCAGACCAGAGUUCCUGCUCCACAUCACAGAGUCGGGAUCGAUCCAUCCAACUCGCUCCGAUUUCUCAGCUCACAUCGAUAAAACUCAGAAACGAGGAACUCUGCUGAUCUCCUCUGCUGCAGUGACAGACUCUGCUGUGUACUACUGCGCUGUGGCGCCCACAGUGACAGGAAACACCAGAACCCUGUACAAAAACCUGCAGUACUCCACAGCAGCCACUAGAGGGCCUCACUCCCUGUUAAACCACUGAAACCUGCAGUACUCCACAG